rfam:Beta vulgaris subsp. vulgaris Bvchr7.sca019.con0035.1, whole genome shotgun sequence.
AGAUUAUGAUGUGGGCAUUCCCUUUGCAGAUCAUUGAACCUAUUCCAUGCUUCCUUCUGUGUUUCAUCGGGUUCUUGUUGAAUGUUAGCAAGCAUAUGUCUUAUUUC